CCAUGAUAUUCCAAUUAUCUAAUCAGGAUUUUGUCUCCUAUAAAAGAAACAGGAAGAUGCAAGAUUUGCUAAAGAGAGCAGCUUUUUUGGGGCGCUAGAGUGGCUGAUUGUUUCACAAGUUACCUAGUUGCUCUCUCAAAUCCCUGACUUUUUGUCACCCAGUUACCUCCAGAAAAUAAGCCAGGCAUAAAGUCCAUCCUGCAAUGGAAGUCACUGAGGCUUCACUGUUCACUUCUCGGAGAUCACAAGAAAAUUUCUGGACCCGACACCAAACCUCUCUAGGCAUGAUCUUAGCCGGAGGAAUAGCGUUUAUAACUGGAUCAUUUAUUUUAGUAUUUUUUGCCACUAACUACAUUUCUGAAUACUUCAUGUCGGGACCACUUUGUCUUUCUUUUGGCCUCUGUACUAUAGCUAUUGGGAUCGUAAUGAUGACCAUAGAGGACAUGACAUUGUGGCUACCUUUUAGAGUUGGUGAGCAUAUCUCUUUCAUGAGGCAGACUGCAACCCGAGCUUCCGCCGCAACCCGAGCUUCCGCCGCCACCCAGACUGCAACCCGAGCUUCCACUGCAACCCGAGCUUCCGCCGCCACCCAGACUGCAACCCGAGCUUCCCCCACCACCCAGACUGCAACCCGAGCUUCCCCCCCCACCCAGACUGCAACCCGAACUUCCCCCACCACCCAGACUACAACCCAGACUGCAACCCAGACUUCUACUGAGGAUUAAACUUCUUUACAUUUUAAAAUGCAUGAUCAUCUAAACUUACAAUAACUUCACUGUGGCCAAAUUUGCAUGAAUGUUCAACUUUGUACAGAAUCUGCAUCAAAACAAGGCUCUUUGCCAUUUUCCCAGAGAGUGACUCUAAUUAUUCGAUUAGAAAAGCAAAGCUUGAGAGAUUAGAAAACGUAAAAAAGAAUCCUGCUUAUGACAAGACUGGGGCAACAGAUAGGGACCACAGUACAGGAGAUAGUGCCUUGAGAAAGAUGAAGUUAGAAAAUAAACACAGAAUUGAUGAGAGGUUGGGUGCCCCAAAAGGCAUUAUAUACACUUUUAUGUCCUCCAGUGCCUCUAAACCCAAAUAUCCACAUGUGAUCAAAGUCAUGGUCAGGCUACAGCUUGGUCUGGGUUUUUUCUGUUUAACACUUUCCUCGGGAAUUUAAAAUUUGAGGGUAAUGUUUGGGCCAGCCCUAGAUGCUCCUUCAUUGGCUGGCUAUAUAGGAAACAAGGAAGAGUCAAAGGAAAGAAGGGUUUCUCAGAAGUACUUGUGCUUCAGCCAAUUUUCUACAUUGCUCUUCUAGUCAAGAAGUAGGACAACUUUUUUUUUUUUUUUUUUUUUUAAAACAGGUUGAAGCUCUGCUCAGAGAGGAGGACCCUAAAUCUUUUCUGCCAGUUAUCAUGGAGAUGUUUGUAAAACUCAUUUUCAUCCUUGCUGGAAUGUCACCGUGACCAGGCCAGUUCUCCACACCUCCACACCUUGGAAACAGGAAUUUCUAAGUUAACAGCUCUGCAAAUAUACAGCCUAUUGACUCCAUGAUUGUUACAGUGGAAUAUUCUGUAUUUCUUAGUAACAGCUUUGGGCCCCAGUACCAUAGAGUCAUACCAUAGAGUCAAUACCACCAGCAUUAAAGCUAUAUUCUCUGGACAACCCCAAAUCACCAAUUUUUAAAUUGCCCAUUGAGGAGCAGGUUGGCCUUCAGGUGAAGGAUCCAGUUGUAUGGAAGAUGCUUCAUCCUUGACAUGAAUCUUGGUCAUCAGGGUUUUUACUUUCCCUGGAAGGAAUGACUGCUUCAUUGUCUCCAGGACAUUCCUGAGAUCAUCCCUGAGGUCAUCUUCCACAUAAUUCUUCAUGAUUUAUGCUUUGUCCAUAUUGCUGCCCAUCUUGAUCUCCCAGACAAGUAAUAAUGUUUAUAUGCUGAGCUUUCAUGAUAGUAUUAAUUUCUCUGAGCCAGAUAAUCAUUUCUAUUUCCAACCAUUUCAAAGACAAAAUUUCAUUAGUCUUUUUUUAUCCUUUGGUUUGUGACUUUGUCACAACAUGUGACUUCUUCAUUUCUAUUCAGAUUCUGGGAUACUUCUAUAUUCUGAUAACCCUGAGGGGAAGCAGGUUUUGGGGGAGCUGCUCUUUCAGCUCAGUAGAAGAUUAAGGCUGGAGAGUUGGGAUGUAAUCUUUAUGCACUAUAAGGCUGGAUUGCAGCAUCCCCUCUGUUCUCCUCUGUCCCUCUCUCUAACACCUAACAUAGCUUCUCUUCUCUCAUUCUUCCGCUUCUGUCUUUUCACUCAUUUCUUUAGGAAUCUGCUCACAUACUUUCUCAGAAUUAUUUCCUGUCCCAUUCUCUUCUUCCUCUUCUGAUUCCUCACAACUACUCUCUUCUUCCUCCUUGAAGCCAGAUGCUGACUCUGGUGAAUAAGGACUCAGCUGAGCUGCUUUUUCUUUUAAAUUUUAGAAAAGAGAUCUCUUUCUUUGUUUUUCUCCAUUUGGCUGGCUUCCUGCCAUGUCCUUCCAUGGUCCUCUUGUACUGCUCUGUGAUGAAUAGAAACUUCUGGCCUCUUGCUCUUUGUGCCUCUUCGAAGACGUCUCUCCCAUUCCUUCUGUUCCCUCCCUCCCUGCUUCUCCCUUAUCUUCCAUUAUGGUUCUUUCUUUAGCUCCAAAUGUUCAAGAUAAUCCUUUUUCCUCCUGGAAUAUUCUCAAGCCAUCUCUCUCUUUUGCUUUUCUCUUUCCAUUUCCAGCAAGCUUUAUCCUGUUCCUCCUGAUGCCUUUGACAGCUCAUGUUCUCAUUCCUCUUUUACCCUGACCUACUUCAUUCUGUUAAAUGAUGUAAUGCCCACUUCCUUUUCUUUUCUUUCCUGUGAGAAGCUUUUUUGUCCCCUUAUGUGACCAUUUGCUGGGGUGUUUUGAAAGUCAGAGUUAUCUUUCACCUUUAUCUCCUAUAGAAUCUGUCUUCCUGUGAGAUGGAUUUCUGAUUAUCUCCAUAUGAUAUUCUCAUCCUCAUCUCUAAAUUUAGAUUUCCCAUCACCAGAAUUUUUAAUGUUUUAUCUCUGCCUUUUCCUUAUUUCUUUCUUCUCUUCUUUUCCUGAAGACAUUUCACCUAAAGUUUUUAAUUUCCAUAAAUCCUCAUCUUCACUUAUCUGAGGUGAAGCUACCUGCCACCACCGGAAAGACAGCUGUUGCCCACCCACAGACUGAAGAGAAGCAGCAUUGAGUGCUGAAGAAGGGUCCCCUCCAAGUUUAGCAUGAUUUGGUGAUGUUGGAUGAAAGCUUUUUCUUUUUUUUUUUUUUUAACUUUCUCUUGCAUGAAGUUUUAAACAUUAAUUUUUUUCUAUUUUUAAUAAAUAUUUCAGUUUCUAGCA